rnacentral:lncRNA from 1 species
CUACUUUGGUGCAAUGGUUCAACAAAAUCAAUGCCUAUUGAUUAAAAUACAUAGUUUGGAAGUAAACUAGGCAUUAACAGAUCCCUAUCCAGGCUGGACUACUGCUCCCUCAUUUGGUCUCCCAUUUACAACCAGCACAUUCACCUAUUAGAAUCAGUCCAACGGCGAUCCUUAAAUGUUUGGCAUUUAAGGAUGAUGGAGUCUAUCCUCCAAGGGGUUUUGACCAUAACCUGCUGCUCUCUAGAUAUACUGAACGGUCACUUGCGAAGAGGAGAGAAAUGCAUUCGGUGAAAUUCUUGUUUAAUUUACUUAACCAUAAAAUUGACUGCCCAUCCCUUUUGCAAAGGAUUUGCUUUCAUAUACCACGCCUAGGAUCCAGACAGUGUCCAGCUUUUAACUUGGACACAGCCAGGUCCAACAUUCUGUACCAGAGUCCUAUUCACUUUAUGUGUCAAAACUUUAACACUAUUGCUGAUUUUUGUGACAUUCACCACGAUGAUUUGGCACUUAUCUUGAAUCACCUGCGUAUGGUCGGUGGGGGAGGCUAGGUUAUUUAGUUUUUAGUUAUUUAGUUUUUAGCUUGAAUACAUUUAUUUACUAUUUUUUUUUUUGGUCUUUUGAUUUAAAUUAAUUCUUGAUUCUUAUCCUAAUUUAGUGUUGAUUUUUUAUUAUUUAUUUUCUCAAGUUCACUACUUUUUUUUUUUUUUUAUUAUAUAGCAAUUCUUUUAUAGUUUAGUUGCAUGAAUCUAAUACAAUUCAUGCAUUCGUACAUUUAUAUAUUUAAUUGAUUUUCCUGUAACUGGGUAUAUGUAACCUGUUGGAAAUAAAGCUUAUUAUUAUAAGUUUAA